rnacentral:rRNA from 1 species
AUUGAACGCUGGCGGCAGGCCUAACACAUGCAAGUCGAGCGGCAGCGGAAAGUAGCUUGCUACUUUGCCGGCGAGCGGCGGACGGGUGAGUAAUGUCUGGGAAACUGCCUGAUGGAGGGGGAUAACUACUGGAAACGGUAGCUAAUACCGCAUAACGUCGCAAGACCAAAGAGGGGGACCUUCGGGCCUCUUGCCAUCAGAUGUGCCCAGAUGGGAUUAGCUAGUAGGUGGGGUAACGGCUCCCCUAGGCGACGAUCCCUAGCUGGUCUGCGUGGAUGACCAGCCACACUGGAACUGAGACACGGUCCAGGCUCCGACGGGAGGCAGCAGUGGGGAAUAUUGCACAAUGGGCGCAAGCCUGAUGCAGCCAUGCCGCGUGUAUGAAGAAGGCCUUCGGGUUGUAAAGUACUUUCAGCGGGGAGGAAGGUGUUGAGGUUAAUAACCUCAGCAAUUGACGUUACCCGCAGAAGAAGCACCGGCUAACUCCGUGCCAGCAGCCGCGGUAA